GGACAGAUGGGAGCUUGCUCCCUGAUGUUAGCGGCGGACGGGUGAGUAACACGUGGGUAACCUGCCUGUAAGACUGGGAUAACUCCGGGAAACCGGGGCUAAUACCGGAUGGUUGUUUGGACCGCAUGGUUCAAACAUAAAAGGUGGCUUCGACUACCACUUACAGAUGGACCCGCGGCGCAUUAGCUAGUUGGUGAGGUAACGGCUCACCAAGGCAACGAUGCGUAGCCGACCUGAGAGGGUGAUCGGCCACACUGGGACUGAGACACGGCCCAUACUCCUACGGGAGGCAGCAGUACGGAAUCUUCCGCAAUGGACGAAAGUCUGACGGAGCAACGCCGCGUGAGUGAUGAAGGUUUUCGGAUCGUAAAGCUCUGUUGUUAGGGAAGAACAAGUACCGUUCGAAUAGGGCGGUACCUUGACGGUACCUAACCAGAAAGCCACGGCUAACUACGUGCCAGCAGCCGCGGUAAUACGUAUGUGGCAAGCGUUGUCCGGAAUUAUUGGGCGUAAAGGGCUCGCAGGCCGUUUCUUAAGUCUGAUGUGAAAGCCCCCGGCUCAACCGGGGAGGGUCAUUGGAAACUGGGGAACUUGACUGCAGAAGAGGAGAGUGGAAUUCCACGUGUAGCGGUGAAAUGCGUACAGAUGUGGAGGAACACCUAUGGCGAAGGCGACUCUCUGGUCUGUAACUGACGCUGAGGAGCGAAAGCGUGGGGAGAGAACAGGAUUAGAUACCCUGGUAGUCCACGCCGUACACGAUGAGUGCUAACUGUUAAGGGGUUUCCGCCCCUUACUGCUGCAGCUAACGCAUUAUUCACUGCACC
rnacentral:rRNA from 1 species